rnacentral:tRNA from 1 species
UAGGGAGACCUACCCGUCCUAAUAUCAACAUCAAUAAGAGAGUUGAAUUAGAUGGAGUCACCUGAGGUCGUAACGAGAGCCUUGAGAGAAAGCGAAAGCGUCUGAGAUUAUGUCUUCUGUGUAUAGCUGCUAUAGUUCUCAAUCGUAGGAGAGAUACACAGAAGGCUCUGCCGUGAUUCGGUGGAGAGGGGCUAUUAGCUCAGGUGGUUAGAGCGCACCCCUGAUAAGGGUGAGGUCCCUGGUUCGAGUCCAGGAUGGCCCACCAUGAAUCUGUGGGGGUAUAGCUCAGUUGGUAGAGCGCCUGCUUUGCACGCAGGAAGUCAGCGGUUCAAGUCCGCUUACCUCCACCAUGAAGAUAUAGGGAUAAGUACGUAGCACCAAAGGGUCUUGAGAGAGGCAUUUGACUGCUGGGUAUUAGACCUAGCGAGAACCUUGAAAACUGCAUAGAGAAGAAAAAGCAGGUAAGAACUCAUCAUGUGAGUAGGUCAAGCGACCGAGGGCACGUGGAGGAUACCUA